rnacentral:rRNA from 1 species
UAGGGAAUCUUCGGCAAUGGACGGAAGUCUGACCGAGCAACGCCGCGUGAGUGAAGAAGGUUUUCGGAUCGUAAAGCUCUGUUGUAAGAGAAGAACGAGUGUGAGAGUGGAAAGUUCACACUGUGACGGUAUCUUACCAGAAAGGGACGGCUAACUACGUGCCAGCAGCCGCGGUAAUACGUAGGUCCCGAGCGUUAUCCGGAUUUAUUGGGCGUAAAGCGAGCGCAGGCGGUUAGAUAAGUCUGAAGUUAAAGGCUGUGGCUUAACCAUAGUACGCUUUGGAAACUGUUUAACUUGAGCGCAAGAGGGGAGAGUGGAAUUCCAUGUGUAGCGGUGAAAUGCGUAGAUAUAUGGAGGAACACCGGUGGCGAAAGCGGCUCUCUGGCUUGUAACUGACGCUGAGGCUCGAAAGCGUGGGGAGCAAACAGGAUUAGAUACCCUGGUAGUCCACGCCGUAAACGAUGAGUGCUAGGUGUUAGACCCUUUCCGGGGUUUAGUGCCGUAGCUAACGCAUUAAGCACUCCGCCUGGGGAGUACGACCGCAAGGUUG